rnacentral:rRNA from 1 species
CGAGACCGAUAGCGAACAAGUAGAGUGAUCGAAAGAUGAAAAGCACUUUGAAAAGAGAGUUAAAAAGCACGUGAAAUUGUUGAAAGGGAAGCGCUUGCGACCAGACUCGCCUACGGGGUUCAGCCGGUAUUCGUACCGGUGUACUUCCCCGUGGGCGGGCCAGCGUCGGUUUGGGCGGCCGGUCAAAGGCCCUCGGAAUGUAACGCCUCUCGGGGCGUCUUAUAGCCGAGGGUGCCAUGCGGCCAGCCCGGACCGAGGAACGCGCUUCGGCACGGACGCUGGCAUAAUGGUCGUAAGCGACCCGUCUUGAAACACGGACCAAGA